rnacentral:rRNA from 1 species
AUUGAACGCUGGCGGCAGGCUUAACACAUGCAAGUCGAGCGGGGGAGGUUGCUUCGGUAACUGACCUAGCGGCGGACGGGUGAGUAAUGCUUAGGAAUCUGCCUAUUAGUGGGGGACAACAUUCCGAAAGGGAUGCUAAUACCGCAUACGCCCUACGGGGGAAAGCAGGGGAUCUUCGGACCUUGCGCUAAUAGAUGAGCCUAAGUCGGAUUAGCUAGUUGGUGGGGUAAAGGCCUACCAAGGCGACGAUCUGUAGCGGGUCUGAGAGGAUGAUCCGCCACACUGGAACUGAGACACGGCCCAGACUCCUACGGGAGGCAGCAGUGGGGAAUAUUGGACAAUGGGCGGAAGCCUGAUCCAGCCAUGCCGCGUGUGUGAAGAAGGUCUUCGGAUUGUAAAGCACUUUAAGUCGGGAGGAAGGACUGUAGGCUAAUACCUUGCAGUUUUGACGUUACCGACAGAAUAAGCACCGGCUAACUUCGUGCCAGCAGCCGCAGUAAUAC